rnacentral:lncRNA from 1 species
AUGUAAAGAACUAGCUCGAGUUGUUAGGAUUUCCAUAUAUUGUGGCCCAAUUAAUUAUAUUUAAAUUAGGAUUUGCUAUAGAUAAAGGUCAAUCCUAACAGAUUUAGAACUACUUGAUAUGGUAUAUUUUAUCCCUAUCCCAUCUACUUUAAAUUUAAAUAGAAUCCUAAUCAGACUUUGAUGGGAAGUCGAUCUGGACUCUAUAUAAAGGGGUAUUGGUCCUGCCACCUUCUCAUAUAUGCAUUCUGGUGAAGAAUUACCAUCGGUUCCACACCAUACGGCAGAGUGCCUGAGAUAGGAGGAGAAACCAAAUCACCCAAGUUCGGUUCGUGACUUUCAGAUCAUAGCCGGACUUCCAGCUUCCGCAAGAUUGAUCAAGAAUUUCUUCUCUAUGGCGCUCUGUGAGUUAUCUUGUAUUUUUUAUUUUUGAUCCUGGAUUUGGUAUGUAUUUAUUUUUGAUUUUGUUUUACAUACCUAUAAAGUCUAUCA